CAAGUAGCAGCGAGACUGAGAGGUCAACUUUACGAAAUCUCGGUGACAACAACUUUACCGACUCUGGAAGACCCAGAGGAGUUCUCUUGUGAGCUUCAUAUCCCCCAAGCGAACUAUACUGUUCGCAGAGAGACUGUUUUUUAUCCUGGUAAUAGAGCAUCUCAAAAGUCAUUGCAACGAUGGUUGACUCUUUCAGCUUGUAUAUUAUCUACAUGCAUAAAUUUAGUCCUUCAUUUAAUUGGUAUGUGCUAACCAGAAAACUCGAAUUAUGAUUGCCUUCUACAAGAUCUUCAGUGUCAAAACUUAAAGACUAGAAGCUAAAUAAAAAUUAAUCACUGCACCAAAGUGAAACGGACUCUGGAAUU